rnacentral:rRNA from 1 species
CCGCGUGAAGGAUGAAGGCCUUCUGGGUUGUAAACUUCUUUUAUGUGGGAAGAAACCUCUGAUUUCUAUUAGAGUUGACGGUACCAUAGGAAUAAGCACCGGCUAACUCCGUGCCAGCAGCCGCGGUAAUACGGAGGGUGCAAGCGUUAUCCGGAUUUACUGGGUUUAAAGGGUGUGUAGGCGGGCCUUUAAGUCAGUGGUGAAAUCUCCGAGCUUAACUUGGAAACUGCCAUUGAUACUAUUGGUCUUGAAUGUUGUUGAGGUGGGCGGAAUAAGUCAUGUAGCGGUGAAAUGCAUAGAUAUGACUUAGAACACCAAUUGCGAAGGCAGCUCACUAAGCAAAUAUUGACGCUGAGGCACGAAAGCGUGGGGAUCAAACAGGAUUAGAUACCCUGGUAGUCCACGCCCUAAACGAUGAUUACUCGACAUACGCGAUACACAGUGUGUGUCUGAGCG